CUUUUAAUUACAUUUUAUAUACCGCCGUCUUGAAUAGAUCAUAAAAUUUUGUUCAAAAUAAAAUUCUAAAAAUUUAGGUAAAGGUGUAAACUAUUCAAAAGAUAAAAUGUAUUACAUUAAAUNAAAAUUUAAGGAUCAAAUUAGAAUAUAAAUUU
rnacentral:rRNA from 1 species